GACGACGCUGGCGGGCGUGCCUAACACAUGCAAGUCGAGCGGAGUCGAUCGACGGAAGCCUUCGGGCGGAAGAUGGUUGACUUAGCGGCGGGAUGGGUGAGUAACGCGUGGGCAACCUGCCUCGAAGACCGGGAUAACAGCCCGAAAGGGCUGCUAAUACCGGAUGUGGUCAAGGAUCCGCAUGGAUUUUGAUUAAAGGGGAAACCCGUUUCGAGAUGGGCCCGCGUCCUAUCAGCUAGUUGGUGAGGUAAAAGCUCACCAAGGCGACGACGGGUAGCCGGCCUGAGAGGGUGACCGGCCACACUGGAACUGAGACACGGUCCAGACUCCUACGGGGGGCAGCAGUGGGGAAUCUUCCACAAUGGGCGAAAGCCUGAUGGAGCGACGCCGCGUGAGCGAAGAAGGCCUUCGGGUUGUAAAGCUCUGUCUGGAGGGACGAAGGAAGUGACGGUACCUCCGGAGGAAGCCACGGCUAACUACGUG
rnacentral:rRNA from 1 species